CAAUGGUAACAACCGUAACAACCAACAUGACAAUCAUAUAUUUCUCUUCGAAGGCAUUGAUGGUGCAUCCUUAAGUAAUGACCGUUUAUGGGUAUUCUAAAUACAUACAUCACACUUCAAAUAGUGAGAUGGUCGUUUGCGCUCAUCGUGUUAUGGUAGGCGUGAUGUACAGAUUAAUAUUUGUGCCAACACUUUCAUUUUCCUGGUACAGGAAUAUAAUUAACAACAGGACAUAAGCUACGGAAUGAUCACACGUCGAUGUAUGUAGUCUCUGAUCUACAUUUGGCGAUGGCGCCUCCAGAUAUAGAACACAUCAAAGACCAAGUUACUAUAAAAUCAAUCCAGAGGACAACGUCAUAAGGAUAUUACAAUUUAUAUACAACAGUUGUUGCAAUAAUUAUUGAUGCAAGUAAAUUUACUGUCAUUGUCAACACUAUGCUCCACGGUUCCACACUGAAAUACAAUUAAAACCUUAAGGACAAUGUUAUAAUUAAAUACAACAUGCAUAUAACACUUGCACUGCAACUUAUUAUAAUAAAAUACAUACUAACAUUGUCUAUAAUAGAAAAAAAGCACAUCCAGAGAAUUAUAGGUAUCAUACAAUAAAAGUUUUUUAAAAAUGA